CACCUACGUAAAGUAUUUCAAAGGC
rnacentral:piRNA from 1 species